rnacentral:rRNA from 1 species
AUUGAACGCUGGCGGCAGGCCUAACACAUGCAAGUCGAGCGGGGUUUUCGGACCUAGCGGCGGACGGGUGAGUAAUGCGUAGGAAGCUACCCGAUAGAGGGGGAUACCAGUUGGGAACGACUGUUAAUACCGCAUAAUGUCUAAGGACCAAAGUGUGGGACCUUCGGGCCACAUGCUAUCGGAGGCGCCUACGUGGGAUUAGCUAGUUGGUGGGGUAAUGGCUCACCAAGGCGACGAUCCCUAGCUGGUUUGAGAGGAUGAUCAGCCACACUGGAACUGAGACACGGUCCAGACUCCUACGGGAGGCAGCAGUGGGGAAUAUUGGACAAUGGGCGCAAGCCUGAUCCAGCCAUGCCGCGUGUGUGAAGAAGGCCUUCGGGUUGUAAAGCACUUUCAGUAGGGAGGAAGCGUUGUGUGUUAAUAGUACACAGCGUUGACGUUACCUACAGAAGAAGCACCGGCUAACUCUGUGCCAGCCGCCGCCGUAAGAC